rnacentral:rRNA from 1 species
GUGGGGAAUAUUGCGCAAUGGGCGAAAGCCUGACGCAGCGACGCCGCGUGAGGGACGAAGGCCUUCGGGUCGUAAACCUCUUUCAGCAGGGACGAAGCGCAAGUGACGGUACCUGCAGAAGAAGCACCGGCUAACUACGUGCCAGCAGCCGCGGUAAUACGUAGGGUGCAAGCGUUGUCCGGAAUUAUUGGGCGUAAAGAGCUCGUAGGCGGCUUGUCACGUCUGCUGUGAAAACUCGGGGCUCAACCCCGAGCCUGCAGUGGAUACGGGCUAGCUAGAGUGCGGUAGGGGAGACUGGAAUUCCUGGUGUAGCGGUGAAAUGCGCAGAUAUCAGGAGGAACACCGGUGGCGAAGGCGGGUCUCUGGACCGAUACUGACGCUGAGGAGCGAAAGCGUGGGGAGCGAACAGG